UGACAUAUCUCAAACUUUGCAAAAUUAUAAUGGCAUGGUUCUAAUUUACCAAAAUUUUUAUCCA
rnacentral:sRNA from 1 species